rnacentral:rRNA from 1 species
UACAGAGGUGGCAAGCGUUGUUCGGAAUUACUGGGCGUAAAGGGCUCGUAGGCGGCCAACUAAGUCAGACGUGAAAUCCCUCGGCUUAACCGGGGAACUGCGUCUGAUACUGGAUGGCUUGAGUUUGGGAGAGGGAUGCGGAAUUCCAGGUGUAGCGGUGAAAUGCGUAGAUAUCUGGAGGAACACCGGUGGCGAAGGCGGCAUCCUGGACCAACACUGACGCUGAGGAGCGAAAGCCAGGGGAGCAAACGGGG